AAGUCAGUGGCAAUCUAAGAGUGAAGCCCAGCUCUGACUUGUAUCCAUGCAGCACGUUUGCUGGAUCAUAAGCACCUGGUUUCUCUAAGCCACAUCAUGAUUUAAUCUUGUCCCUGAUCCUACUGCUGCUGAAAACGAAGAGAUGGGCAGGACAGGAGCCAUUCCAGAGACUUCAACAGACUUGGACAGUUACAAGUGUUACAGGACCACAAAGAAAAGAAACCAACCUACAAGGUAGUAAGGAGGUCAACUCUGGUGCAGCCAAGUUGUAACAAGUGGGCAAUAGGAAUAGAUGUAGUUCUUCAUCCCUCCAGAGGAUGUCAGCACAGAGCCGCCAAAAAAAAAGCGAGCUUU
rnacentral:lncRNA from 1 species